UUUUAAAUAAACUCUGCUCAAUGAACUUAAUUUAAAUUGCUGCAGUAUUUACUGUACUAAGGUAGCACAAUAAUUUGUUUCUUAAUUUGAAACUAGUAUGAACGGUAACAUGAAAAAUUAACUAUUUUAAAAAUUUAAAAGUAAAAAUUAAUUUUAAAGUAAAAAAUCUUUAAUAUAAUAAAAAGACAAGAAGACCCUUUAGAAUUUUAUAAACACUUAAAGCUUAAUUUAAAUAGAUUUAUUUAGUUGGGGAGACUAUAAAUAAAAACUAACAUUUAUUUUUUAAUUUUACUAAUAAGUAUAAAAUUAUCAAUUACCCAAAAUAAAAUGAAUAAAAACCAAAUUACCUAAGGGAUAACAGCGUAAAACUUUUAAAAAGAUCAAAUUUAUAAAAUUUAUUACGACCUCGAUGUUGGAUUAAGCA
rnacentral:rRNA from 1 species